AUUGAACGCUGGCGGCAUGCCUUACACAUGCAAGUCGAACGGCAGCACGGGUGCUUGCACCUGGUGGCGAGUGGCGAACGGGUGAGUAAUACAUCGGAACGUACCUUAUCGUGGGGGAUAACGCAGCGAAAGCUGUGCUAAUACCGCAUACGCCCUGAGGGGGAAAGCGGGGGAUCGAAAGACCUCGCGCGAUUAGGGCGGCCGAUGCCUGAUUAGCUUGUUGGUGGGGUAAAAGCCCACCAAGGCGACGAUCAGUAGCUGGUCUGAGAGGACGAUCAGCCACACUGGGACUGAGACACGGCCCAGACUCCUACGGGAGGCAGCAGUGGGGAAUUUUGGACAAUGGGGCAACCCUGAUCCAGCAAUGCCGCGUGAGUGAAGAAGGCCUUCGGGUUGUAAAGCUCUUUUGUCAGGGAAGAAACACCGGCUCUAACACAGUCCGGGAAUGACGGUACCUGAAGAAUAAGCACCGGCUAACUACGUGCCAGCAGCCGCAGUAA
rnacentral:rRNA from 1 species